ensembl:lncRNA SILC1 sciatic injury induced lincRNA upregulator of SOX11
GGCAGUGUUUUGACGACUGCCUCACUAAAGGAAGCUAAAAGCUGUGCUGAUGCCUCCCAGACGAGCCUCGUUGGAAGCACAGAACCUUCACGGCUCGGAGCCGCUGACACCGUGACAAAGGGAGCCCUGCUCAGGAGAAAGAGCAAAUGAGAGGCAGUUGCACUUUUUCAGGUGUCAGGCUGGAGGAAGCCACUUGAAGAUGAAUCUACCUCUGCCUUAGGAUUGCCUGAUGGCCUGUGCCAUUCCAUGUUAUAUCUACUGAUUUGCUCCCUGUAUUCAAAGAUUUUUUUUUUUUACUUAAUUCUCUCUUACUGACCCUGAGAGUGACCAUAUUUUUAACCAAUUUGGUCUUCAGCCUCAAAACUUAGCUCUUUCCUUUUGUGGUCCCCGAAUCCUAUCACGUGUCAUGGUGGCUGUGAAGAUGUUUGCCAAGCCUGCUGAGAAGGCUCAUCUGUGGCAUCCAAAAGCAGAGAUUUCAACUCUGGACCCCUGUGACCUGCCUUUGUAAUUAUGGAUACCCAGCACUGUUUUGAAAUAUCAGUGGACAUCCAGUUUUUAAAAGCCCUCAGAGCUUUGGGAGACACCCCUUUAUCUCUCUGGCAUGUCAGAGAACCGAUUCAACCCUUCUCAUCUCCUCCUCCUUCCCUCUCUUGGGCCAUCAGGAUGCGGCAGCAACUCACUGUGCAUGUUUUUACAGCUCUUCUCCAGUAAUGCUGCCAUUUCCACUGCAGACCACAGGAUAAAAGGACCGCUUCACCGUGGCCCAGGAUACCCUUUUAAGUAGGAGAGGGAGAAGAAAGUACUGCUUUGAUCUAAAAUUAAGCAAACGUUCUUCAAUAAACCCACCAUGAGACUUGACCACUAAUGGUGACCAGCAGUGGCUUUGUCAUGGCCCUGCCCACUGGGGGCAGGCACAUGCCGGGGCCAGGGCAGGCUGCCAGCUGCUCAGUCAGCUUAUCUAAAAGGGAUGGAGAGUACUUCUGUGGGAACAGUUGGAGCUGAAGAACAGAGAACAUUUCCUUUGAUGUUUGGACUCUACGGAAUCUUUGGGAAUUGUGUUCAAGUCCAGGAGGAAUGGCUGAAAACAUGAUUGAGAUAAAUUUGCAGCCAGGAGGUUGAAGACAAAUUAGGAUCUGAUUUUAUUCAACUGGGAGUAACCAUGGCCAAGCAUAAUUCUUCUGGUGGAUUCUGAAGUUAUUUGGAAUUUGCCCAUAAGAUGAAUUUUCCUGAAGAAGGAAGGAUGUGGAGGCUGAUACUGAGGCCCCAUUUCCACAUGUGAACUUCUAAGAAACCACAGCUUUCAUCCAGAGUGGAGAUGAAUGGCACUGGGGUCCACGUUGCCAGAAUGCCUGGGGACAAGGAAUGAGGACUUGUCACCCAAGGCACGAGAUCCAUAGUGGCUACGGGAAUGAAGCCACUGCCUUUGUGGAAAUGACUAAUUCACCCAAAUCCAAGGUGUUUUCCACAACUGAGAGGCCUGGGCUGAGGAUAGAGAUUUGAGCCUUAACUGAGACAUCCUACUGGGAAGUUGCAUCAGUGGUCAGUAUCUGAGGCCACAGAAAAUGUCACAUGAUGGUGUGUCACAGGGCUCCACAUUUAGGACAUUUGUGUACUCAAAGAGAAUCUUUGACGACCAUGACUCAGAGAAAUUUUUAAUGACUUAAAACAGGUUUUGGAUCAUGUUGAUGAUGACAGAUGGUGCAAGCCACCUACCUAAAUCCCUCUGGGGAGGGGUGGUAUUUCUGCAUUGUUCUCAGAGCAGAAAUGUGACAUGGAUGUGGAGGCUCUGGACAGUGAGAUGUGAAGCUGGAGGCAUGGCUUGGCCUCCCUAGAAUGGGUGUGGCCAGGGCAAAGCUGGGACAUCCUCAACCCAAAGGUUUGCAUAACUGGAUUUGAACUCCUUAUAGAUAUUCCUAAACAGUGGUGAUACGGAAGGGAGAGGAGGAGGAAAAAAGGAUGGCUCUUCAUCAAGAGCAAAAGCAAGAGAUUCAGAUAGGAGAUUUCACUUGGCUUUUCUAGUCUUGGGUGGGGACCCAUUAUGGAAGUGAAGAGCUCUGGAAUCUUCCAGAGAAACAAGCAUGGGUAUCCUUUAACAGGUCCCAGAUAGCCAGUUACCGCAGAACAAUGUCCUGUUACCAGAAGCUUAUUGCAGACCUUGUAACCUGAAUCAUUGUGUUGGCCCAGGGCACACCCAGGAGGGUGGCUUGGGAAGGAGAUUCCAGGCUGAGGUAAAUACCGACAUCUGAUUUCCUGACAUUGAGUAGGAAAGCAUUUCAGAGACAAGCUCCAAGAGCUUUGGAAAGGGGAACAUUCACCCACUUCCCACAAUUUAUAAGGGGGCUGGCAGUGGUUGUUUUGGGGAGGAUAAUAAUGGGAAAAGAGAACGGGGUAUGUUAUGGCACACAGAACCAAAAAUGAAGAUUCCUAAGUAGUAAUCUAUUAGUGAGGGAAUUCUUGGGCAAUUUCAAAAAACUCAAAACGUGUUACAGAGAGGAGCCCCUUGGACUUUGUAGGAGACUCGUUUGUCUAUCUGGCCCCAAGGCCCAGAAGUAGCUGACAAAGAGACCCAGUUGUCCCCUGGAUGCCAAACUUGGGGAGAGAAUGGUCCUGGGUGGCAGCCCCUCCCCAUCCAGCCUCAGUCAGAGCUCUCCAGCAAGUCAGCCUGCAGGUAGCUAUGGAGUUGCAGUGUAGUCCUGUUAUUAAUGGCUUUCUGCUUUGGCUGGAUUUCAGACAUAAAGAAGAGAAGAAGGAAAGGUCUGGGUGAUCUGCCUCUUCUGAUAACACUAAAGUUGCACACAUCACCUCAGCUCAUAUUUGAUGGGCUGGGACUUAGUCACUAAGCCACACCCAUCUGCAAAAGUGCUGGAAAGCGUUGCACUCUCUGAUGACCACAUGCCCAGCUAAAUAUUGAGGUCAUAUAUUCCUAUAUAAUAAGACAUAAGCAAA